UGUGGGAGCGGGCUUGCCCGCGAUGACGGCGUCACUAUCACCAUAAAUAUCGGCUGAUAGAUCGCUAUCGCGGGCAAGCCCGCUCCCACA
rnacentral:misc_RNA from 1 species